rnacentral:rRNA from 2 species
CCUGCGGAAGGAUCAUUGUCGAAACCUGCAAAGCAGAAUGACUCGAGAACUCGUAAAAGUAUAAAACUCUAGUGGUGGAUCCAUCUUUUGGGUCCAACCUUUACGAACAAAACCCCAGCGUAGUAGCGCCAAGGAAUUUCAUAAUGAGAAUGUAGCUUGCAAAGUGCUUUUUUAAGUGUUUGUGUGGGUGGCGUCUUUACUUACAAUAUGACUCUCGGCAAUGGAUAUCUCGGCUCUUGCAUCGAUGAAGAACGUAGCGAAAUGCGAUACUUGGUGUGAAUUGCAGAAUCCCGUGAACCAUCGAAUCUUUGAACGCAAGUUGCGCUUGAAGCCUUUAGGCUGAGGGCACGUUUGCUUGGGUGUCAUGCAUUGUGUCGUCCCACUCAUGUGUUUUGAGGGGGAGUGGAUCAUGGUCUCUCGGGCCCAUCCUUGGGUGCGGUUGGCUGAAAUUCUUGUCCUUGAUGAUGAUGAUGAAUGUCUUGGCGUGUGGUGGAUGUACGAAGUGUGCAUAAUGGCGCGCCUUGCUCGGGUUCGUUGUGGCGGUUAGACCCUUGGAAGCUGAUUGAGUUGGCUCUUUGAUGCGACCCCAAGUCAGGCGGGACUAC